UCUCCGUUGGUGAACCAGCGGAGGGAUCAUUACAGAGUUAUUACAACUCCCCAACCCCUGUGAACAUACCUCUUGUUGCCUCGGCGGACCGCCCCGGCGCCCUCGCGGCCCGGACCCAGGCGCCCGCCGGAGGACCUACAAACUCUUGUAUUAUUUGAAUCUUCUGAGUCUUAUAAACAAAUAAAUCAAAACUUUCAACAACGGAUCUCUUGGUUCUGGCAUCGAUGAAGAACGCAGCGAAAUGCGAUAAGUAAUGUGAAUUGCAGAAUUCAGUGAAUCAUCGAAUCUUUGAACGCACAUUGCGCCCGCGAGUAUUCUCGCGGGCAUGCCUGUUCGAGCGUCAUUUCAACCCUCAAACCCCCGGGUUUGGUGUUGGGGAUCGGCGGCCGCGGCCCUCUACGGGCCCGCGCCGGCCCCGAAAUCUAGUGGCGGUCUCGCUUGCAGCCUCCUCUGCGUAGUAGUAACAUUCUCGCACCGGAGCGCGGGCGCGGCCACGCCGUUAAACACCCCACUUCUGAAAGGUUGACCUCGGAUCAGGUAGGAAUACCCGCUGAACUUAA
rnacentral:rRNA from 1 species